rnacentral:rRNA from 1 species
CCUACGGGUGGCAGCAGUGAGGAAUAUUGGUCAAUGGACGAGAGUCUGAACCAGCCAAGUAGCGUGAAGGAUGACUGCCCUAUGGGUUGUAAACUUCUUUUAUAUGGGAAUAAAAUGUUCCACGUGUGGGAUUUUGUAUGUACCAUAUGAAUAAGGAUCGGCUAACUCCGUGCCAGCAGCCGCGGUAAUACGGAGGAUGCGAGCGUUAUCCGGAUUCAUUGGGUUUAAAGGGUGCGCAGGCGGGCCUUUAAGCCGGCGGUGAAAUCGCGGGGCUCAACCCCGCCGAGCCGUCGGAACGGGGGGCGUUGAGUGCGGGGGAGGCAGGGGGAAGGCGCGGUGUAGAGGGGAAAGGCGUAGAUA